UCGGGAUUACUGGGGCGUAAGCGCACGCAGGCGGUCUGUUAAGUCAGAUGUGAAAUCCCCGGGCUUAACCUGGGAACUGCAUUUGAAACUGGCAGGCUUGAGUCUCGUAGAGGGGGGUAGAAUUCCAGGUGUAGCGGUGAAAUGCGUAGAGAUCUGGAGGAAUACCGGUGGCGAAGGCGGCCCCCUGGACGAAGACUGACGCUCAGGUGCGAAAGCGUGGGGAGCAAACAGGAUUAGAUACCCUGGUAGUCCACGCCGUAAACGAUGUCGACUUGGAGGUUGUGCCCUUGAGGCGUGGCUUCCGGAGCUAACGCGUUAAGUCGACCGCCUGGGGAGUACGGCCGCAAGGUUAAAACUCAAAUGAAUUGACGGGGGCCCGCACAAGCGGUGGAGCAUGUGGUUUAAUUCGAUGCAACGCGAAGAACCUUACCUGGCCUUGACAUCCGGAGAACUUAGCAGAGAUGCUUUGGUGCCUUCGGGAACUCUGAGACAGGUGCUGCAUGGCUGUCGUCAGCUCGUGUUGUGAAAUGUUGGGUUAAGUCCCGCAACGAGCGCAACCCUUAUCCUUUGU
rnacentral:rRNA from 1 species